rnacentral:lncRNA from 1 species
CAGGCAGCGGAACCACUGAGCUAAAUUCCCAGCCCAGUUCAUUCUUUAUUAGUAUCUGUUUGCAAAGCAUACUGAUCGCAGUCCUUGUGCGGAGUUACUACAGUUCCAGAUCCUCGGAACAGAAAAAUCCUAGCCAGAUAUGGCGGCCUAUACCAGCAAUUCCUGCACUCUGGGAGACUGAAGCAUCAUGAUUGCAAUUUUGAGCCCAGCCAGAGCAACUUAGUCACCUAGC